CAGAAAACCAAGAUUGAAAAAGCGGAUAUAUCAAAGUUAUAUAUAAGUUACAGCCCUCUCUAAAGUAUUAUGAUAUUUCUGGUUGUCAAAUGCAUCAUUUUUACCCCACUUCAGGCUUCAUCUAGUACCAGCUGGACAGGACGCUGGGUUCUUCUUGUCUCUGUGCAGGCUGUAGGUAGGGGCAUGAUGAUGACCUUGUCAAUAAACCAUUUAUUAUGUUGUGUCAUUUUAGGCCGAACAAAACACCAGAACUGUAAUAUGAAUUUAAUGGGCCAAAUGUUGGAAAAUGAUGAUUUUUAUGGUUGUAUAUUUUAAUAUUAAGUUUUCAUUUCUCAUCAGUUUAAAGCCAGAGGCUACUUUUUAAAGUGGAGAUGUAUUAUUUUUAUGAAGUGACAUUUAUUAUGAUAGUAUGUGUAUGUUUGGUUGCCAUUUUAGAGGUCACAGGUCGAUGUAUAUGUUUAUGCAGGAAUUUUAUCUGAGCUUAAAUCAUGUUUGUUGAAAAAGGUUGAAUAGUUUCAGCAAUGAACUGAAAAAGGAAAAGUAGUGUCGGAUCAAAGUUUGUACAACAGCUUAUGUAUUGUUUUAGGGUAAAUAGUCAUGUGUACAUUAUUUUCAAUUGUUGAUGAUUCCCUGCCAUUGUUAAUGCUUAAUGGAUGCACCAGUAACCAAGCUUGUAUUGUCAAGAUUCUUUUCAGAAAUGCCAAUGAUCAGCAAUACUAACAUUCUGCAAAUCCAUUUCGUGCUUUAAUUGUUUCAACAUGGAUAUUGUUAGAGUUCUCUGUUGCUAACGAUCAUGUGUUGAUAACGAUGCCUUGUUGUAGUGAUCUGCCUGGUAGUGAAGCAUCAAGCAAUACAUAUUUGUAUGUAGGAAUGCAGUGUUAAGCAGGACUAAUCAUCAGUGAAGACGUAGCCUUUUCUAUGCAGAGUGAUAUGGUAGGGUUGUUGCCAUGGAUACAGGGGCCGUUUAUUACUUGUACAGGAUGAUGAACAAUAUUUUCCUUUUGUGGAUUUUGUUUUGCACUAACUCAUGCAACCAUGAUCUGAUAUUUUGCUAAAGGACAAAUAUUGUUCACUAUAUAUCAUGUCAGAGCUUUGAUCAGAGCAGAUUUAUGUAUUCAUUUUAAUUUGUUACAUAACCAGGCUCUUGUUUUAGUAACUACUGCAAGAGAAAGAUUAGGAUGCAUUAGUUGUGUUUCCAUGGUUACAUAUAUUAUGUUUAAUGACAGAGGUAUGAAGUCAUCCUCGGGAUUUGUAGAAUUCCGAAAUUGGGACCAGUGGAUGUCAGGUGUGAUCCAGAUUUUAAAGAGACCAUUUUACAACAGAACUUUUAUUUAUUGCCAUUUUAUAAUGAAAUUGAUUUCUUUGUAAUGCUUCUGCAAAAUAAUUGUGAUAAUUGACAUCAGUUGAGUGUUCUAAGAACUACUUAAGAAUAAAGUCAAAGUUAUUUUGUUGAACUGACAACACGUUUCUGGCCAUUCUAUUUGCCUCCCAGCUGUUUACUAUGUGUUGGUCCUCAUGCAUGGGCUAACCUCCAAAUCGCGUCACUUGAUCCAGACUGUUCGGUGACUGUACAUCAUGGUUUCUUAAUAAAAUUAAUAAAGAUUA